AGUUAAUAAGCUUAAAGCAAAUAUUUUGAAAAUAUUAAUUAGAUAUAACCUAUCUAUUAACUU
rnacentral:tRNA from 1 species